rnacentral:rRNA from 1 species
GACAGAGGGUGCAAACGUUGUUCGGAAUUACUGGGCGUAAAGCGCGUGUAGGUGGCAAGGCAAGUCGGGUGUGAAAGCCCUGGGCUCAACCCAGGAAGUGCACUCGAUACUGCCUCGCUAGAGUCCCGGAGAGGUUGGUGGAACUCUCGGUGUAGAGGUGAAAUUCGUAGAUAUUCGCAAGAACACCAGUGGCGAAGGCGGCUCACUGGCCCGAUACUGACGCUGAGGCACGAAAGCGUGGGGAGCAAACAGG